rnacentral:rRNA from 1 species
CGGACGGGUGAGUAAUGCUUGGGAAUCUGGCUUAUGGAGGGGGAUAACUACGGGAAACUGUAGCUAAUACCGCGUAAUAUCUUCGGAUUAAAGGGUGGGACUUUCGGGCCACCUGCCAUAAGAUGAGCCCAAGUGGGAUUAGGUAGUUGGUGGGGUAAAGGCCUACCAAGCCGACGAUCUCUAGCUGGUCUGAGAGGAUGACCAGCCACACUGGAACUGAGACACGGUCCAGACUCCUACGGGAGGCAGCAGUGGGGAAUAUUGCACAAUGGGGGGAACCCUGAUGCAGCCAUGCCGCGUGAAUGAAGAAGGCCUUCGGGUUGUAAAGUUCUUUCGGUGAUGAGGAAGGUGUUUGUUUUAAUAGAGCAAGCAAUUGACGUUAGUCACAGAAGAAGCACCGGCUAACUCCGUGGCAGCAGCCGCGGUAAUACGGAGGGUGCGAGCGUUAAUCGGAAUGACUGGGCGUAAAGGGCACGCAGGCGGUGACUUAAGUGAGAUGUGAAAGCCCCGAGCUUAACUUGGGAAUUGCAUUUCAUACUGGGUCGCUAGAGUACUUUAGGGAGGGGUAG